rnacentral:tRNA from 1 species
AGGGGUGUAGCUCAGUGGUAGAGCACAUGCCUAACAUGUGGGAGGCCCUGGGUUCCAUACCCAGCACCACCA